UACGUAGGGGGCAAGCGUUGUCCGGAUUCAUUGGGCGUAAAGAGCGUGUAGGCGGCCAGGUAGGUCGGUUGUGAAAACUGGAGGCUCAACCUUCAGAGGUCGACCGAAACCAUCUGGCUAGAGUCCGGGAGAGGAGAGUGGAAUUCCUGGUGUAGCGGUGAAAUGCGCAGAUAUCAGGAGGAACACCGGUGGCGAAGGCGGCUUGCUGGGCCUUACCUGACGCUGAGGAGCGAAAGCGUGGGGAGCGAAAGGG
rnacentral:rRNA from 1 species